rnacentral:lncRNA from 1 species
AUCAAGCUUUGAUGAGCGUCUACUUCUUGAGACUCUGGAGGACUUCUGUUUAGGCUCUUUCAUGAUUGUAACUUUCCAUGUUUGUUAAAUUCCUUUUCAUUUUUCAAUAGGAUUGGGAGUAGUGGAGACAGAUUUCUGAGUAAGAAGUGGAAGCUUGUGUAAUUUAAACACAUGAACACAGUCCCCCUCCAUAUCCAUGGGUUUCAGAUUUGAAUCCAGGGAUGUUAAACUCGAGAAUACAGAGAGUGAACUGCGUUCAUUGUGCUACACCAUUUUAUCUAAGGAGCUUGAGCAUCCCUGGAUUUUGGUGUCUGUGGGGGGUUCCUGGAACCAAUUCCACCCCACCCCCUUACCAAGAGAUGACUCUACAGGUUUCCCCCACCAUCUGAAAGUUUGCUUUAGGCGACUUCACUUUUACGAAAGACCUAUAUUAGUACCUGUGCUUGCUAACCAAAAGAGAUCCAAGGAGGAUUUUCGCUUUUACAAAAAAGGUGAGAGCCAGCCCUGAUGGCUGAGUGGUUCAAGUUCAGCACCCUCUACUUAAGCAGCCUGGGCCAGUUCCCAUGUGCGGAACGACAUCACUCAUCUGUCAGUAACCAUGCUGUGGUGGCAGCUCACAUAGAAGAACUAGAAGGACCUACAACUAGAAUAUACAACUACAUACUGGGGCUUUAGGGAGGGGGGAAAACGGUGACAAGUGAAAAUAGCAUUCAGUGUUUGUUUCGCAGGCUGAGUCGAGCUCUUUAUAGAGGCUUAAUGGUCAAACCUACCAUCGUAAUUCAAGCCUUUCACAUCAGCCCUACCAGACGACAAACCUUGACCUUCGACACAGAGGCAGGCAGACAUAGAUGAAGGUGUAGACAUUAGUGACCUGUCUGCCCUGAGGGAUUCAGACAAUGAGAUGUUAAUAGAUGACCUCUUCCUCUCUCUUCUACACCGGAGUCUCCUGUAACUCCCACCACACCAAACUCCAAUGACUCAGCCUCACACACCACCAUCACCACCACCACCUCUCAGCCUUCCUGUGUGCUCACUGUCUUCCUGAUUCUGAGCUCAUGGUCAUGUCUUCAGACGUAGCAACCAGAGAAGAAAAUUAAGACCAGUCAUCUUCAAGGAACCCACUGACAAGUAACAUCUAUGCCCCCAGGAGUUUCUCACCUCAAGCUAGUCCAUGCUCAGCCUCCAGCAGUUAAUCAAAAUUAUUCCUUGAGUGUUCCUACCAGUUUAUGGCUCCAGCAGCUUCUGCUCCAGG